rnacentral:rRNA from 1 species
CCUACGGGAGGCAGCAGUGAGGAAUAUUGGUCAAUGGACGAGAGUCUGAACCAGCCAAGUCGCGUGAAGGAUGACUGCCCUAUGGGUUGUAAACUUCUUUUAUAUGGGAAUAAAAUGUUCCACGUGUGGGAUUUUGUAUGUACCAUAUGAAUAAGGAUCGGCUAACUCCGUGCCAGCAGCCGCGGUAAUACGGAGGAUGCGAGCGUUAUCCGGAUUUAUUGGGGUUAAAGGGAGCGAAGGUGGAUUGUUAAGUCAGUUGUGAAAGCUUCGGGCUCAACCGAAAAAGUGCAUUUGAAACUGGCAGGCUUGAGUACUGUAGAGGUGGGUGGAAUUCGAGGUGUAGCGGUGAAAUGCGUAGAGAUCACGAAGAAUACCGAUGGCGAAGGCAGUUCACUGGACUGCAACUGACGCUGAGGUUCGAAAGUGUGGGUAUCAAACAGGAUUAGAUACCCUUGUAGUC